rnacentral:rRNA from 1 species
UGAAUACGAGACGCUAAGGCGUCGAAGUAGUGUAUGUCAUACUUCCAAGAAAAGCUUGCACUGUCAUAGAUAAAAAACGCCUGUACCAUAACCGACACAGGUGGGUAGGUAGAGUAUACUAAGGGGCGCGAGAUAACUCUCUCUAAGGAACUCGGCAAAAUAACUCCGUAACUUCGGGAGAAGGAGUGCCUUAUUUAUAAGGCUGCAAUAACAAGAUCCAAGCAACUGUUUAUCAAAAACACAGGUCUCCGCUAAGUCGUAAGACGAUGUAUGGGGGCUGACGCCUGCCCAGUGCCAGAAGGUUAAAGAAGUUGGUUAGCUUUUGCGAAGCUGAUAACUGAAGCCCUGGUGAACGGCGGCCGUAACAAUAACGGUCCUAAGGUAGCGAAAUUCCUUGUCGGGUAAGUUCCGACCCGCACGAAAGGCGUAAUGAUUUGGAUACUGUCUCGGAGAGGGGCUCGGUGAAAUAGACUUGUCUGUGAAGAUGCGGACUACCUGCACCAGGACAGAAAGACCCUAUGAAGCUUUACUGUAACUUGAAAUUAAAAUUGGACUUUAUUCGCGCAGCAUAGGUGGGAGGCGUUGAUUAUAAUCUCGUGGGAUUAUUGGAGCCAUCAGUGAGAUACCACUCUUGUAAUGUUAGAUUUCUAACUUUGAAUCAUUAUCUGGUCAAAGAACAGUUUCAGGCGGGCAGUUUGACUGGGGCGGUCGCCUCCUAAACGGUAACGGAGGCGUACAAAGGUUUCCUCUGAACGGUUAGAAAUCGUAUCUAGAGUGUAAAGGCAUAAGGAAGCUUGACUGUGAGACCUACAAGUCGAGCAGGGACGAAAGUCGGUCUUAGUGAUCUGACGGUACUGAGUGGAAAGGCCGUCACUCAACGGAUAAAAGUUACUCUAAGGAUAACAGGCUGAUCUCCCCCAAGAGUUCACAUCGACGGGGAGGUUUGGCACCUCGAUGUCGGCUCAUCGCAUCCUGGGGCGGUAGUACGUCCCAAGGGUUGGGCUGUUCGCCCAUGAAAGCGGUACGUGAGCUGGGUUCAGAACGUCGUGAGACAGUUCGGUCCAUAUCCGGUGUAGGCGUUAGAAUAUUGAGAGGAGCCUUCUUUAGUACGAGAGGACCGAGAAGGACAUACCUCUGGUGUACCAGUUAUCGUGCCAACGGUAAACGCUGGGUAGCUAUGUAUGGAGUAGAUAACCGCUGAAAGCAUCUAAGUGGGAAGCCCACCUCAAGAUAAGUAUUCUC